GCACCUCUGAGCUCUCAGCACAGUCCUGCCUUUGAAGCCUUGUGUGAUGGGGAGCCUCAAGGAUUGGAGCCUGCACUUCUUCAGCUGCUUCUGCUGUGAGCACAACAUUCAGUCCUGAGGAAAAGGAGUGGGAUGGACAUCAGUCAGAUCCACACCGGUCUUCAUGGCAGCCCCCCUUUUUUAUUUAUUUAUUUAUUUAUUUUUGAGACAAGAUCUCACUGAAUUAUCCAUACUGGCCUUAAAACUUGGAAUCCUUAUGCCUUAGACUCCAGCAUUUCUGGCAUAAACUGCUGUGUCCAGUCUAGAAGGCAUUUUGGUGAACCACCCCUGUAAGACUGAGCUGGGGGGGGAGGGUGUCAGGCACCCAGUUUUGAGUUACUCACACCCAGCCUCUCCCAAGUGUGACACAGUAUCUGCCUAAUAAAUUCACGAAGAAA
rnacentral:lncRNA from 1 species